GUCCACGCCCUAAACGAUGGCAACUGGGUGUUGGGGAAGCGAUUUCUCAGUACCGUAGCUAACGCGUGAAGUUGCCCGCCUGGGGAGUACGGCCGCAAGGUUAAAACUCAAAGGAAUUGACGGGGACCCGCACAAGCGGUGGAUGAUGUGGAUUAAUUCGAUGCAACGCGAACAACCUUACCUGCCCCUUGACAUGUCCGGAAGCCCGCUGAGAGGCGGGCGUGCCCGAAAGGGAAUCGGAACACAGGUGCUGCAUGGCUGUCGU
rnacentral:rRNA from 1 species